rnacentral:rRNA from 1 species
CCUACGGGAGGCAGCAGUGAGGAAUAUUGGACAAUGGACGCAAGUCUGAACCAGCCAUGCCGCGUGCAGGAAGACGGCUCUAUGAGUUGUAAACUGCUUUUGUACGAGGGUAAACGCAGAUACGCGUAUCUGUCUGACAGUAUCGUACGAAUAAGGAUCGGCUAACUCCGUGCCAGCAGCCGCGGUAAUAAGGAGGAUUCAAGCGUUAUACGGAUUUAUUGGGUUUAAAGGGUGCGUAGUCGGUCGGUUAAGUUAGAGGUGAAAUCCCGAGGCUCAACUUCGGAAUUGCCUCUGAUACUGUGCGGCUAGAGAGUAGUUGCGGUAGGCGGAAUGUAUGGUGUAGCGGUGAAAUGCUUAGAGAUCAUACAGAACACCGAUUGCGAAGGCAGCUUACCAAGCUACUUCUGACGUUGAGGCACGAAAGCGUGGGGAGCAAACAGGAUUAGAUACCCCAGUAGUC